UUGUGGCAGUUGUAAAUUGAUACACUUUGACAUCGUAGGCCUAAAACUAAUUGUUUGCAAGGAUUGCUGCGCACCCGGAUGUAGGCAGGCAAGCUGCAAGCAAUCAGUGAUAUGAUCCAUCAAUCAUCAUUAGACUGCAAGCCUCUUCACAAAGGACCAGAUGGCUGUGUGACAUGUUUUCAGUUCUGUGCAAGGAACCACCAUCACACCAUGGAAGACGUCAAUGUCAACAGCAGAAGGAAAAUUACUCUGCAGGCCCUUCCCAUCUUCCUGUGGGAAGAUGGAUUUCUUUAAGACCUGGAAUGCAGAAGAAAUUGACCUGCCAGACUUCUCGGAUGAAGCUGUAGCUAUUCUCACUGUCUCGGGUGAUACAGACUCCUUUGUGAAGUUUGGUCCUGCUAUCCAUUCUAUA